rnacentral:tRNA from 1 species
GACUGUGUAGCUCAGAGGCAGAGCGAAAAGCUGUUAACUUUUAGGUCGGGAUUUCGAAAUUCCCCACGGUCG